GACGAACGCUGGCGGCGUGCCUAAUACAUGCAAGUCGAGCGAAUCAAUAGGAGCUUGCUCCUGUUGGUUAGCGGCGGACGGGUGAGUAACACGUGGGCAACCUGCCUGUAAGACUGGGAUAACACCGGGAAACCGGUGCUAAUACCGGAUAAUCCUUUUCCUCUCAUGAGGAAAAGCUGAAAGUAGGUUUCGGCUGACACUUACAGAUGGGCCCGCGGCGCAUUAGCUAGUUGGUGAGGUAACGGCUCACCAAGGCGACGAUGCGUAGCCGACCUGAGAGGGUGAUCGGCCACACUGGGACUGAGACACGGCCCAGACUCCUACGGGAGGCAGCAGUAGGGGAUCUUCCACAAUGGACGAAAGUCUGAUGGAGCAACGCCGCGUGAGCGAUGAAGGCCUUCGGGUCGUAAAGCUCUGUUGUUAGGGAAGAACAAGUACCGGAGUAACUGCCGGUACCUUGACGGUACCUAACCAGAAAGCCACGGCUAACUACGUGCCAGCCGCCGCCGUAAAAC
rnacentral:rRNA from 1 species